rnacentral:snoRNA from 1 species
AAUGCCCUAGGCAACACCCCCGAGUGGGGCGAAUGAGCCUGGCGGGUUACCCCGGCCAAA